rnacentral:rRNA from 1 species
UACGGGGGGAGCAAGCGUUGUUCGGAUUUACGGGGCGUAAAGGGCGCGUAGGCGGCCAGCGCAAGUCGGUUGUGAAAUCUCCGGGCUUAACUCGGAACGGUCAACUGAUACUGCGCGGCUAGAGUGCAGAAGGGGCAACUGGAAUUCUCGGUGUAGCGGUGAAAUGCGUAGAUAUCGAGAGGAACACCUGCGGCGAAGGCGGGUUGCUGGGCUGACACUGACGCUGAUGCGCGAAAGCCAGGGGAGCGAACGGG